CCCUUAGAUGUUCUGGGCCGCACACGCGCUACACUGAAGGAGGCAGCGUGUACUCCUGGAUCGAAAGAUUUGGGUAACCCGCGAAUCUCCUUCGUGCUAGGGAUUGAGGUUUGCAAUUAUCCUUCAUGAACGAGGAAUUCCCAGUAAGUGCAAGUCAUAAGCUUGCGCUGACUACGCCCCUGCCCUUUGUACACACCGCCCGUCGCUACUACCGAUUGAAUGAUUUAGUGAGGACUUCGGACUGGGACCGAUGCGGCUUUCGGGCUGCGUCGGUAUUCUGGAAAGAUGUCCAAACUGUAUCAUUUAGAGGAAGUAAAANUCGUANCA
rnacentral:rRNA from 1 species